GGCUCGGUCGGAAUUGCUGCCUCGUAGGGGCUGUGUAGGAAGACCUGGCCAGAGAAGCUGCUGCAGGAACAUUCUCCUACCUUCCGCCUCUGUUCUGCUUUGUUCUCUGCCUGUGAUCAGAAAGAAAGCCGACUCAGAAACCACUGAAUGUUGAGCUUCUCUGUCUCAUACUAGUCAGGAACUGGAGACCUCUCAGAGACCUUCUACAAAAGAGUGGAAACAGGUUUAUGGAAAACUUAAUGAACCCAAAACUUAUGGAACCCACCAUCUCUGCAUUCCUACCACAUGUGUUCAUUCUACAAGGAAUCACUGAGUGAAGAGGCACUGUCUGUCUCUGGCAUGGGAGUCACAGCAGUAAAGCCAGACAGAUGUUGCUUCUGAUUUCAAGAAGAGAAAACAAACACCAAACAAUACCUACAUGUCUCCAUAGAGAAACUCCAGAGCUUGCAUGGGAACUCCAGAAGGUCUGCAGAGUCAAACCAACCAAUCAUUUUUUUUGCCAAGAAUGGAGGUUAAAACAUUAGGCCUUAAUGUGUAUCCUGACUCCGUAAUCUACUAGACCUGUGGCUUUAGGUGUUGAAAAUGCUGAUUUGUAAAGAUAAGUUCUUACAAACAGAUUAAAGCUUUUAUAGCUACUUUACAAGACAAAGAUAGUGUCUUUCAAAAACCACCUGAAUUUUCCAAGAGUUUUAAAAUUAAACUACAAUCAUAGCGUGUGUGUGUGUGUGUGUGUGUGUGUGUGUGUGUGUGUGUUUUAACCUAAGACUAAUGAAUUUCUCCUUGGCUAGAUGCUCAUCUUAACAUACUUUAUAUCAGAAAGAAAAAGGAAUGAUGGUCCACAGUUGAACUUUGAUGCCAUCAAGAUAAAAUAACUUGUAAAACUUUCCAAAAUGUUUCCAGAUGUUUCUCUUUUCACAGAGAUUGGCAAAGAACUUUGUACCUCAUCUUCAUGGGGUAAAGCAUUCCCUCUAGCAUUGACAGUUGGCAAAGAUGUUCCACAUUAGCAGCUCAGGCAGGAAAUGUUGUAGAUUUCCAAGAGUAUCCAUUAAGGUGACAUUAAGACUCAUGUGCUGUGUUCAAAAGGCCCUGCUGCUUUACAGAGAAUUAAGAAUUCUUAUUUAAACUGUCUAGUUUUGCAAAAUUUUAAGAAGUAAUUCCUUGUAUUGAAUAGCAAACAAUUGUAGAUGGGCAAUCCUAUAAAGUAGCAUAAAUGUCUGCCAGCGUAUUAUAGGGGGAUGCUGCUAUAAGAAUAUGUGACUUCAUGUUUGGUGAAGGUACAGAGUUGACCAAUAACUGACUUACAACAUUGCACAAUAUCUGUAGACGCAAAGAUUAUGACCUCAUGUGAUCUAAUUUAAAAGUAAUAAUCAGUGGUGCACCUGGCUGGCUUAGUCAGUGGAGUAUGCAACUUUUGAUCUAGAGAUUGUAAAUUCCAGCCUCACGUUGGCUAUAGAGAUUACUUAAAUAUAAAAUCUUUAAAAAAAAAUAAUAAAAGUAAUAGUGAGGAGUGAUCUUUUGCAAUAUCUGCAAUAACUGUAAUGUGAUAUGAAAGCGUCUGUGGUUUUUCUUGGUAACAAAGUCACAGGAGUACUAAUACCCCUUGAUUUGUUACCUGUAUCCGUAAUUGAAAGGCAAUGAGAGUGACAUACAACAAAGGCAUACAUUUUUUUCUCUUCUAUUCCCCCAAAUUAUGACUUCCAUCCACACAACUCUUGUUCUAAAGAGAAAACUGAGACUACAAGUUUUUCUUCUGAAAUUUGAGAGGAAAAGUAUAUCAAAUGCCCUAAGAUCAGUGUACUCAUAAAAUUUCAUUAUCCAAUCCACUUUAGGUGGGGAAAGGAUUCUGUUACUGAUGAUACCAGAAAAACAGUCUCCAAACAAGAUCAUCCCUGGCAAACUGAGAUGUUUGGCUGUACUAUCCAAGACAGAAAAAAGAUUAAAACAGAAAACAAAAUAUUGCAGAUAUUAAAGGAGGCUUUAUUUUCUGCCCCCUGUACAAAGAAUCAUAGAAUCUGAGAGAAUUAUUGACUAUAGCCCAAAUUAAAGUUAGAACUUUUUGCUUGUAUCUCAGCAGAUAUAGUAAACCAUAGUCAUCAAUAAAGUAAUUUUCCUAUAUUUUGAAAAUGAGCUAAAUGAAGUUUUUUAGCACAAUGCAAAGUUUUCAUUGGUCUAAUACCCACACUCUCUGUUAAAAUUUUACCCUGGUUCGGGCAAAUUAACGUGCAAGUCUAAAUUAUUAUUAAAGUAUCUAAAAUAUAAUCUUUUUACCCGUUGACUAUAUCAUCACCUGUUGUAACCGAUGAUCUUAUGGUAGCUUAUGAACUCCUGAUACAAUAAAAGUAGAAUAGACAUCAAAAUUGUUGACUGUUUAUACCUUAGUAUUCAAGGGCUUGAGUAAAAAAAGUGGCUAGAGAUUUCUGAGAUUUCCCUAUAAGCUCAUUAGGCUUUGGAGUCCCAGUGCUCUGGAGACACAGGUGCACGGAAGAGGUAAGCCUCUGUAGUUUCUGCAGUUCUUUCCAAGAGGCAAAGGAAAGUAUUUUUCCAGAGGAAAAUCUCAGAAGGUUUAGGGAAAUUCUCAAGCUUUCCUUCAUGGGGAGAUAAAAUUGAGUGAAGAAAAGACACUAGGGAGGAAAAGGAGGAAGCACUCUUCUUGGGGGUCUACAAUGUGCCAGGUAUUUAACAUAUUACUGCAUUCAAUAAUAAAUCUGUACAGAGGCCCUUUUUCCUAUUUUACAGUAGAGUAAAUUUAGGAUCAGAAGAGGUAAUUAACUUGCAAAAGGUCACAAAGUGAGGAAGUACCAGAGAUAAAUUUUGAAAGCAAUCCAGAGCGUUCUUUGCUCCAAACUGACAACUUCACCCAGUGUGAUAUAUCAAGAAGAAAACUAUGCCUAUUGUGACCCCUUCUUGCCUCUGGAAUAUUGUGUCUGCCUCCUUCUGAAUAUGACAUCUAAGGAUGGUUGAGGAGAGAAGCAGGAAGCCCUGAGUCCCUGAGGGAAGUUCAGGUCCUUUGGGAGUACAGGUUAGGAAGAUGUUUCUUAGAAUAAAGUACAUAUUAAAGUUAAGUAGCUUUUGCUACAAAUGUUGGACUAUAAGAGCAGGAAGUUAAGGUUUUUCAAACCCUAAGGAAGGUUUUUUUUUUCCACAGUCCAAAGCAAUUAUCACUAUGACAUAACACACUCAUUGGGCUUUCAACCAAGUCAAUUAUGAUUUAUAUUCAUCAUAAUACAAAUAGAGAUUCAUUGCAACAUAUGUAGAAAACAUGGCUUGAAAUAUUGUUUCAUCAAUCUUUCCCCAUAUCUAUAGUCCAGCCCAUAUUUUCAGGCCUGAACUAUGUAACUAGAGCUGUUUCUGAUUAGCAAAAUUAGCUUCCACUCCCUUUUGUGUUAACAUGUAACACAAAAGCCUUAAAUUGAAGAUAAGACUGAUUGCCCUCUUUGAGUAAAGAGCUUUCAACAGAAAUCACAGUUAAUUGGAAAAGUUUCCCUUGAGAUAUAAACCACAGGGGAGAAAAAACAGGAAUAAUAAUGAAAAAUUAACAAAUUUAGUAUUUUAUUUUGUAAGGCAGCAUAAGUUUAACAGCAAUGAUAAUUAUACAAUUUAUAUUUAUUACAUUUUUUUCUGUCAAGAUACUCCACAAAUUUAAAUAAGAUUAUAUUUUUAAAAUUUAUUUAAGUAAUGUCUACACCCAACAUGGGGCUCAAACUCAUGACCCUGAGAUCAAGUGUUGAAUAUUACUCUGACUGAGCCAGCCAGGCGCCCUGAGAUUAUAAUAUAUGAUUGAAGAUCAAGGCUUCAUUCAGCCUUUGAUUCAUUCAUUCACUUCGUUAGCAUCAACAAUUUUUCACACAACAACAAUGUGCUGGACGUACCUGCCCUACUAGAACUCACAGACUGGUAUCGAAAUGUUCAGGAAGUACCCAGUCUUUAAUCCUCAAUUCUCUGACAAUAGAAGUCUAUGCAGACACAGCCAGGUAAGUAAAAAGAACAACAGAUGUUAAAUCAAAAGGGCAGAGUUCUCCCCUCGAUUCUGCCACUCUCUCCAUGAACAUAUUACUUAGAACUCUGUUUUAGAAAUAAUAGAAACUGGUUCAUAUCAGUUUAGGCAAAAACACACACACACAAAAAGGAAAAUUAUUAUAAACAUAUGUGUCAGGAGUGAUAUUUCUUAGUAUUUAAAUAUUAUCAACUUUUUCAAAAUUUCUCCUAUUCCCUCCUAACCCCCUCCCAAGUUUCCAGGGAGGGCAUUAUUUAUUAUUUUUAUUUAUUGUGAUGAGCAAUAAAGAUAACGAAAAGAAAUAACAAGAGAGGAAAGAUGGGGGGGCAGUGAGAACAAUGAGGUAUAAAUGCAUACAUGUUGAAAUGUAAGGGAGAGUAUUUUAAUUUGUCAUGUGAGUAGUUUCAAAACAGGCAUGGAAAACCAGGAGUCAGAUGAAAAUAGCUUAAAAAAUUUUUUUUAACAUUCAUUUCUUUUUGAG